rnacentral:rRNA from 1 species
UACGUAGGCAGCAAGCGUUGUUCGGAGUUACUGGGCGUAAAGGGUAUGUAGGCGGCGCUGUUAGUCGGGUGUGAAAUCCCACGGCUCAACCGUGGAACUGCGCCCGAUACUGCAGUGCUUGAGGGAGACAGAGGUAAGCGGAACUGAUGGUGGAGCGGUGAAAUGCGUUGAUAUCAUCAGGAACACCGGUGGCGAAAGCGGCUUACUGGGUCUCUUCUGACGCUGAGAUACGAAAGCUAGGGUAGCGAAGGGG